AUUAAAUCCAAGAUAAUACGAAUCAUUUUUAUAUUUUUGUCUUAAUAACCAGUGCUGUUCAUCUCCCUUAUCCCCACAGGGCAAAGUUUGCAAAUUCGAAGUCCGGGGGCUGAACUCAGCUUGCAGACAUGUUUUGUUUGGCCUGUAGGAUGUAUUAGAACUGUGAGAAUUAGUGGCCAAGAUUUAAAAGACUGGAUAUUUCCAGUCAACCUCUGCAUUUCCAGCUUUUCUUAAAAAAAUCAGAAGACCUCACCACUUUGGGCUCGAUUCUUACACGACAGUGAUUAGCCAAAACUGGGUAAAGCUGUCCCUUCAGAUGGGACUGAGUCUCCAGUUCACUGGAAUCCCCAGCUCACAGGCUGGACCUGUCCCUUGCCUUCUUCAUUUAUUUACAUGCCCUCCGUGCUGACCUGGCCCUGUAGGUACCUCAUUUUGCUACCCUGUCCUUGACUUCUCGAGUGCUCACAAAAAUGCCCAGAAAUGUACACAGUGGGCACUUAAGAUUGUGGGAUCUUAAAUGAAAUAAACAUUAAGUUCUACCACAGGGUCCAAGUAAACAAGAGGAUAAGAACAGGAUGGGAAGAAAAGUCUUUGCAGCGGCUUGUAAAAAAAGAAAAAAAAAAGCCGUAAGAGUUUUAGCAGAAGGUAUGAGGCAAUGGUGUUUUGAGACUGCCAACUAGCUAAUGUGAUCUCUGGCUCUGUGAUGAGGCGCGGAACACUCUGACAGGACGCGGGGCAGUCUGGGUCUUCCCUCGGCUCAGAUGCUUCUGAAUCAUCAUGUUCCUUCUUGGGGAUAGACUCGAAGUGGGAUUUGAACAAAGAGGUGAGCCACGGAUUGGUGAGAUGACUUGGAAUCUCUUCAUGGGAGUGAGAUUUGGAGAAGCUGGGGUCAUUGAUUCUGGAGAAGAGGAAAAGUUUUUUCACAUGUAAGAGAAGUCCAGAUGGAGAGGCAGUUUAUUUCUUUCUCCUGCUACUGGAAUCUGGUGCACAUGAGGCCUGGAGUCGCUCAGCCAUUUUUGCAGCAGCCCGAAGCUGGCCCAGGAGGACGGCUGAGACAGGAGAACUUCAGUAGUGUGGAAUUGGAGCCACGGAACUGAGUCUGAACUGAGAGCUGCUGACCUUCUGGGCUUUGGGGUAUGUAAGCCCAUCACUUGCUUUCUUUCCUUAUCAUUGUAGUUUAAUUUGGUUUUUUCUUCUUCUUCAAGUUCAGUGAACUCAUCCAAGCCAGAAAGGUUUCCUUCUAGUGACCUCAGUGAUUUGUGUGGGGGAGGCAGGGAGACCUAUUGAGGGCAUACAGGCACCUCUUCUCUCCACCUCAGUCUUGUGGCCUCAGCUGCCUCUCAAAUCCCUGAUUGCCCACUGGACUCCACCUACUGCAGCUAUCCGUCGCCGCACUUACCCAUGGAGUUAAAAGUCCUCAGGCCGACCAGCACUGCAGCUGAAAUCCCUGAUGCCUCCCAGCACUUCUGGACUCAACAAAGACCAAGCUGCAGCUGUGAGAUCUGGCUUCCCAAGCAGCUGCUGCAGGGGCUGGGUGGUACAGCUCAGGAGUGUGGGAGACUUAAAUCUCUGGCAGGUAAACUUGGAGCAAUGGAAUGCAAGAGAUGUAAGAGCUCUGGCAAAUAAAUUUCCUCUCCCUUCCUCCCUCCCAAGACUGAACCAAGGGAGCAUCUUCCUCCCUGAAAAGCCCAUUUGGAAAUAGCUCAUCUAGGUGGACGGAUGCCCCUGCUGAAAUGCAACACCAACCUCACGUUUCUUCCUUUGCUACCUCGCCUCCCUUUCUGCUCAGUUUUGCAGCUGUAAGAUUAUACUUCCUAAAUAAAGCAUUAGCACUUAA